rnacentral:rRNA from 1 species
CCUACGGGAGGCAGCAGUGAGGAAUAUUGGUCAAUGGGCGCAAGCCUGAACCAGCCAAGUAGCGUGAAGGAUGACUGCCCUACGGGUUGUAAACUUCUUUUAUAAGGGAAUAAAGUGAGGCACGUGUGCCUUUUUGUAGGUACUGUAUGAAUAAGGAUCGGCUAACUCCGUGCCAGCAGCCGCGGUAAUACGGAGGAUCCGGGCGUUAUCCGGAUUUAUUGGGUUUAAAGGGAGCGUAGGUGGGUCUUUAAGUCAGCUGUGAAAGUUUGCGGCUCAACCGUGAGAGUGCAAUUGAUACUGGAAGUCUUGAGUACAGGUGAGGUAGGCGGAAUUCGUGGUGUAGCGGUGAAAUGCUUAGAUAUCACGAAGAACCCCGAUUGCGAAGGCAGCUUACCACACUGCCACUGACAUUGAUGCUCGAAAGUGCGGGUAUCAAACAGGAUUAGAUACCCUGGUAGUC